rnacentral:rRNA from 1 species
CACAGAGUGGGCAAGCGUUAUCCAUCCUAACUGGGCGUAAAGGAUACGUAGGUUGAUGUUACAGACAUGGCUAAUGCAAAAAUUCUGCAACGGGUAGAGGAACGUUAGCAACUAACAUCUAGAGAUUUUGAGGAAACUAUUAGAAUUGGCCAGGGGAAUUGAUUUUAGGAAAAUUUAUUUUAUCUGGUCAGGACUACCGACAGCGAAAGGCAUUUUAGUUAAUCAAAAUUUCUGACACUGAGGUAUGAAGGGCAGGGAGCAAAAGGG